UAGGGAAUAUUGCAAAAUGGGCGAAAGCCCGAUGCAGCAACGCCGCGUGGGCGAUGAAGGCCUUCGGGUCGUAAAGCCCUUUUUGAGGGGAUGAGGAAGGACAGUACCCUCAGAAUAAGCCUCGGCUAACUACGUGCCAGCAGCCGCGGUAAAACGUAGGAGGCGAGCGUUAUCCGGAUUUACUGGGCGUAAAGCGCGUGCAGGCGGAUUGGAGAGUUGGAUGUGAAAGCUCCCGGCUUAACUGGGAGAGGUCGUUCAAUACUUCCAGUCUUGAGUGCAGUAGAGGGAAGUGGAAUUCCGGGUGUAGUGGUGAAAUGCGUAGAUAUCCGGAGGAACACCAGUGGCGAAAGCGGCUUCCUGGACUGUAACUGACGCUCAGACGCGAAAGCUAG
rnacentral:rRNA from 1 species